AUACCUCCGUCAAGCAAACCUUGUCCGUACUUCUCUGCCUGGCUACGAUCGCGUGCCAAACCCAUCAAAAGUAGCCAGUCGACCAUUUCGUUGCCACAGAAUACGUCUCUGUAUUCCUUCAGGUGCCACCUGUUUCAUAAUCAACCAAAUCUCGGAUGCAUUUGUCCAUGUAGAACAUCAUGAACUGUUCGCAAGUGUGGUCAACGGUCUGCUCGUUUCUUUUGUUCUCAUCGCCGGCUUCUGUUAACGACAGCAAACUGGCAACCGUCUUCAGCUUGUUGCGCCGUUUCAAUCUAUGUAUACCACCAUUUUGAAACAUACUUUUCGUGCAGAUUGUAAGGCAAACUUACCCCGACCAAACAGGAGCCAGGAAACGGCGAGGUUCUAGGCCGAAAAUGACUAAAACAAAAAUUCCUUGUCCGAAAUUAAGAGUUUCGUCUAAAAAGAGUAACAUGACGUAGAUGCCAGUCAUCUCUUCCAUCACCAAAGUCCACACGCAGACGGCAAUCCCCUGUUUAUCAGAAAUCAUAUUGAACUUAACGCGUAACAACGGAAAAUCAAGAACGUUUACGUACGACAAACAUGGAAGAGCCAAGCGUUAGAAGGAGACCGACAUGUCUAGUGAUUUGGAACUCAUCGUCGCGAUCACGAACGAUUCCCGAUUCCUCCGGCUCUGUCAGUCGCAUUCCAGCCAACAUCGCCUGUGGGUUCCUGCUCAACGACGCCAAGGAUCCCUUACGACUCUGAAGCUCAUCGGCCGGCACAUCCAUUCCAUAACCAGGUGCAUCAUCACACGGACUGAAUAAACUACGGUUUACCUUUCAACCAUCAACGCUGCGGAUUUGUUGUAUUCGUUAAAAGAAGAAGGAUCGCCGGUGUAAAAUGAUUCUUGAACUAGCAGGGCACCUUUGCUUAUGGGAAGAUGGUGGAAAUUGUUUGAGUCGAUGGACGUGGUGCUGGUACGAGUGCUGCUCCUGGGUGUGUACUGGAACGCAUCGAAAAGAAGUUCGCUUGGCGUCGACAAGGAAGUCGAUGAUGAGCAAGUGGACAUUCUGCUACUGACGCUAGACGCCACUCUAGUAAUAGCUGGCUGUUUACUUAAUCGUUGCUGCCACACCAAGCAGAUGACAGUGACUGUCAUACGACAGUUGAGGCUACUAAAGCCUGGAGUUUGCCAUACUGGAAAUUGGGGUUGUCGCCUUCAAGACGGUUGUGAGUGGCGAACGCGCAAAGGCAAGAAGAAAGCACUACAGACCCCCAUCCGACGACCAGAAGAAAGGGACGACAUUUAUUGAGGACGAAGCUUAAUUUCUUCAUGCGCAGAAGAAGUAGAGUAACGGAUAACAGAGCAGACCAGAUCCGUGACCCGAAAACACCGACUGCGAACGUCAUGAAUUGGACGUGUUUUUUCCACGGUUCGUCACGGCCCAAGUUGUACCAUAAGAUGAUACCAAGGCAGGCCAUGCUUUGAGUUAUUGUCAGGCAUAAAGUGACGAAAUGAGAACAAUCGUCAGAUGAAUUUCAUGGAGAAAACGUACCGUGCAAACGAGUCCUAUUAUUGCGAUGCGUAUCAAAAACGAAUCGAGUAAGCUGAUGUAAUCUGCAGGAUUGGCUGAUGAGAGUGAAAUCAUUUUCGACGAGACGACGCUAAUUGGAAGCGAGAAGAAAGUCCCGGCUACCAUAGCCGUAGCAAUCUGUUUCCGAAUUCCAGGAGCCGAAGGGAAAGUGCCCAGGAGAAAACCCAAAUUACUCAAGUCGAGUGAAGCAUUGCCAUUCAUCCCCGGGUCUAAAUGAAGGGUCACUUCACGGGUCACGAUAGGCAUAACUAGACUGUUAAUUGGGAAAAGAGGAUAUCAUUAAAUGACCUUCGUUUCAUUAUUGAAAGGAAAUUAUUGAAUGUAAUACCAUUUGACACCAAUAAGAAUGCCGGGUACGACGAAUUUGGCACCACCAGAACCUUGCGUUUUGCCAACCUUCAUUCGGUCAUUGCGAUCGAAUGGCAAUAAAAAUAGAAUGAAGAAAAAAGAAAUUUAAAAAACAAGAACGUGCAUGUGUUGCUAGAUUUUUGUUGAUGUUUACCAUUCGCAAGCCAAGGGCGAAGAGCGCAGUCGCACUAAACGCCGAACUGAGCACCUAUUUAUAGUCAACUGGGUUAGAAUCUGAGUGGUUGAUAUACCUUGCAACGAUUGGCAUGACUUCGACUGUGAUUGGAGCUGGAUAGCGAUCCAGAGGAAGAUGUGCUAACCUUUCGGCUAAGCUGAUUGUCGCUUCCGGUGGAAGCAUCCGCCUGUUGAAUUGGAAUUAUUUUCUGUGCAAGACGUCUGCUCUCUCUCAGCCUUUCGCCCACUUCCAUGCAGAGAAAACCCAAAGGAUUGAGCAACACUAGCGAAAUGGGUGCCAUCACGUACUGUGAUUUUUAAAAUGAAAAGGUAUUUGGCAUAUUCUGGAUGACUAUUUCCGUAAACGGCCGCCACUGUAAUGAAAAAUAACGCAUUAGCGUGACGUCAUCCGAUGAUGUGGCAAACUGCGUAAAGCGCAUGUUAUAGAAAGGAAAAGUAGAAAAGGACGAGUUGUUCUUCCCUAUCCGGAAGAUUGCAUAAAAACUGGAUUCAAAGUAGUUAUAUAAUAGCGACAUCUGUGUGAUUGUCGCAACCACUUUCCAAGCAUAUUGUUGUGCGCAGAGAAAGUGCCUUGUAAGAAGAUGGGAUAAAAAGUAUUAGAGCAAAAUAACGGAGCAAGUAAAAAAAAAAAAAUAAAGAGUGAAAAUGUUGCGCGUCUAUCGAAGUGAAAGCGCGGAAGCGAAAACUGGUUCGAUCGUCCGUAUAAUGACGUCACCAUUUAGUACCCCAAAUUUAUUUAAAUGGCAUUCAAAUUUCAUCGUCGUCUUCCGUUUGGAAAUGUACAAGCGAAUAGUGAUGGAAUGAAUUCGAAACUAACCGAUUGGAUAUCCCAGAGCAAAAUCAUUGCUCUGCGUGCAGAAAAUGGCAAAGAGUCCAGCUUUGGAGAAAUUCAUCGGUUUGGUCAAGAGAAGCGUGAAUACAACGACAGCAACAAAUACGGCAGCUUUGCUGAUCAGUAUGGCCAUCAGAAACAUCCAAUUGACUCGGCUAUUUAAAAUAGAUUAUUUAAAUCUAUGUAUCAAUUUCAUGGUGUGCAUGAAACAAUGUACCUGAAAUCCAGCUCGGCUAGAGCCGUGAAAAUGAUGCAAGGCAAGGCAAAAUUACCGACAAAGGUCUUGAUAUAAACAUAACUGGAUUUCGAUUGAAAAAGGAAUGAAGAAUGACAUACCCAAGGACGAUGACAACAAAUGUCUGAAGUAGCACAGGAUAUAAAUUUUCGAAUUGUAGUCCACCGACAUCCACGAUAAUAUCCAUUUGUUCGACGACCUGCUGGCUCAAGUUAGCCAUUGUCCAGUCAAUUUGUCAGGGAGUCGAUCAAUGUGAAAUCUCGAUCACCUCGCGUGUACCUUCACUGUAGAGAGUAGGUCACGGUCAAGAGACGACCAGCUGGAGAUAUCAAUGCUUUUAGAGACUAACCGCGUUUAAAUGACGUCGUCGGUUGUGCUCGGACGGAAGGUUUUGCUUUUGCUCCCGAUUUCACGUUCUAAUGCGGACGAUGUGCCCUAAGUGGAACGACCAUAGAGGUAACUCGUAACGAAGCGUGUUAUGAGUCUUGAAGAAAAUUGCAUUAAUGGACAACGACGUGCGGUUUUGGGGAAACCAUGCAACCGCGCAAUUUGUGGGGAAAAUCCCGGUACGUCCUACGACCAAACUGGAAGAAGAACAAUGGAGAAAAAAAGGAGCAAACACACGGUUAUAUAACAUCACAUUGUUGCAGAAUAACGUGUGUAUGAUACUCGGAGCGGGCAUCAUUAUAUGGACGCCUCAAGAACGAAGCUAAUAACCUUGGGUGGACGAAGGUGAGAUGUACAAGUACAUCUUAAAAUAAAACGCUUCAAAUAAUCUUGAAAAAUCAGGUUCCGUACCAGCAUAUAUGCAAAUCAACGCGUUGGCGGAAGAAUGGCCAAUUCGAAUAGUUGCUCUUCCCAACCCACGCCCACAUUAAUUUUGUUUUUAAAUGUGACAUCGGCCUUGUCACUGAGAUCUACCUUGUCGUUGCAAUUAGUUGCCUGUCAUUCGGUUUUUAAAUUCUGUUGGAUUAAAAUUAAUAUGGAUGAACCGUCAAGGAUUGCCGUUACUUCCAAUCAACACACCUCAAAUUAGGAAAAACCCGCAAAGUACUGUAACAUUGGAGUCGAUUGCGUUUAAUUUCACUUCACCUUAAUUACCAAACACCACCACCAGAUUUGUUUAGUUAGACGCUAGAAAUUCAACAACUUACCGUCAAUAAAUGCAAUAUGAUGAAACAAUUAAA